rnacentral:rRNA from 1 species
CCUUGACAUCCACGGAAUUUGGCAGAGAUGCCUUAGUGCCUUCGGGAACCGUGAGACAGGUGCUGCAUGGCUGUCGUCAGCUCGUGUUGUGAAAUGUUGGGUUAAGUCCCGCAACGAGCGCAACCCUUAUCCUUUGUUGCCAGCGAUUCGGUCGGGAACUCAAAGGAGACUGCCGGUGAUAAACCGGAGGAAGGUGGGGAUGACGUCAAGUCAUCAUGGCCCUUACGGCCAGGGCUACACACGUGCUACAAUGGCGCAUACAAAGAGAAGCGACCUCGCGAGAGCAAGCGGACCUCAUAAAGUGCGUCGUAGUCCGGAUUGGAGUCUGCAACUCGACUCCAUGAAGUCGGAAUCGCUAGUAAUCGUAGAUCAGAAUGCUACGGUGAAUACGUUCCCGGGCCUUGUACACACCGCCCGUCACACCAUGGGAGUGGGUUGCAAAAGAAGUAGGUAGCUUAACCUUCGGGAGGGCGCUUACCACUUUGUGAUUCAUGACUGGGGUGAAGUCGUAACAAGGUAGGCGUACUACA